UAGAUAAAACAAUAAUGUUAGAACAUAAUUUGCAAAGGAACGACAAGUUGAUUGAGCUUACACUUCAGCUUUUCCUCUUUAUUGCCAUGCACUGAAAAUACAGAAAGGCUAUUAAUAAAUUCUUGAAAGUCCACAUCUCCUCCACCGUCUUCGUCUACAACUGAAAACAGUCUGGAAGCAAGUGGGUUAGAAGCUACACUGGGAAUCGACAAAAAUUCGUUUCGGUCAAUAGAGCCAGAUUGGUUAGCAUCUAUUUUAAUAAAACGCUUGCGAAUUCUUUCUAUCUCCUCAUUGGAAACUAGAUACAAUGAACGUUAGCCGAGUCGCUUUGAGGUGCUAAUACUUUUGCAUUGUGCAUGUGAAACCGGCAACUUUGAUGAAUUGGCUAUAAUCUUAAAAAGAAAUAGACGACAAGAGAUGUAAGUAUUCUAACAUGAAAAAAUAUAAUGAUAAGAACACUUUUGGCCACACGUACUAAGCAUCAAACUUACAGGAUGAAUUUGAGAUCAAGUCCUCAAAGAUUUGCGACUGCGACUGACCCAUGAGAGGGAAACACAAUAAUAUGAAAUGAGUAA